UGCAGUCGAGCGAUGAAGCUCCUUCGGGAGUGGAUUAGCGGCGGACGGGUGAGUAACACGUGGGUAACCUGCCUCAUAGAGGGGAAUAGCCUUUCGAAAGGAAGAUUAAUACCGCAUAAGAUUGUAGUACCGCAUGGUACAGCAAUUAAAGGAGUAAUCCGCUAUGAGAUGGACCCGCGUCGCAUUAGCUAGUUGGUGAGGUAACGGCUCACCAAGGCGACGAUGCGUAGCCGACCUGAGAGGGUGAUCGGCCACAUUGGGACUGAGACACGGCCCAGACUCCUACGGGAGGCAGCAGUGGGGAAUAUUGCACAAUGGGGGAAACCCUGAUGCAGCAACGCCGCGUGAGUGAUGACGGCCUUCGGGUUGUAAAACUCUGUCUUUGGGGACGAUAAUGACGGUACCCAAGGAGGAAGCCACGGCUAACUACGUGCCAGCAGCCGCGGUAAUACGUAGGUGGCAAGCGUUGUCCGGAUUUACUGGGCGUAAAGGGAGCGUAGGUGGAUAUUUAAGUGGGAUGUGAAAUACUCGGGCUUAACCUGGGUGCUGCAUUCCA
rnacentral:rRNA from 1 species